rnacentral:rRNA from 1 species
ACGGGAGGCAGCAGUGAGGAAUAUUGGUCAAUGGACGGAAGUCUGAACCAGCCAAGUCGCGUGAAGGAUGAAGGUAUUAUGUAUUGUAAACUUCUUUAGCAGUGGAGUAAUAAGGGGAUCGCGAUCCCUGAUGCAAGUACACUGAGAAUAAGGAUCGGCUAACUCCGUGCCAGCAGCCGCGGUAAUACGGAGGAUCCGAGCGUUAUCCGGAUUUAUUGGGUUUAAAGGGAGCGCAGGCGGCGAUUUAAGCGUGUUGUGAAAUGUAGUGGCUCAACCUCUGCACUGCAGCGCGAACUGGAUUGCUUGAGUACGCGGGAAGUAGGCGGAAUUCGUCGUGUAGCGGUGAAAUGCUUAGAUAUGACGAAGAACUCCGAUUGCGAAGGCAGCCUACUGUAGCGUUACUGACGCUAAAGCUCGAAAGUGUGGGUAUCGAACAGGAUUAGAUACCCUGGUA